rnacentral:rRNA from 1 species
CAACUUGAGAGUUUGAUCCUGGCUCAGAACGAACGCUGGCGGCAGGCCUAACACAUGCAAGUCGAACGAAGGCCCGGAGCUUGCUCCGGUGUCCUUAGUGGCGGACGGGUGAGUAACACGUGGGAAUUUGCCCUUCGGUACGGAACAACUCCCGGAAACGGGGGCUAAUACCGUAUACGCCCUACGGGGGAAAGAUUUAUCGCCGAAGGAUAAGCCCGCGCCGGAUUAGCUAGUUGGUGAGGUAAUGGCUCACCAAGGCUACGAUCCGUAGCUGGUUUGAGAGGACGAUCAGCCACACUGGGACUGAGACACGGCCCAGACUCCUACGGGAGGCAGCAGUGGGGAAUAUUGGACAAUGGGGGCAACCCUGAUCCAGCCAUGCCGCGUGAGUGAAGAAGGCCUUAGGGUUGUAAAGCUCUUUCAGCGGGGAAGAUGAUGACGGUACCCGCAGAAGAAGCCCCGGCUAACUCCGUGCCAGCAGCCGCGGUAAUACGGAGGGGGCAAGCGUUGUUCGGAAUUACUGGGCGUAAAGCGCGCGUAGGCGGUCCAUUUAGUCAGGCGUGAAAACCCUGGGCUCAACCCAGGAAUUGCGUUUGAUACUGGUGGACUAGAGUUCGGGAGAGGAGAGUGGAAUUCCCAGUGUAGAGGUGAAAUUCGUAGAUAUUGGGAAGAACACCAGUGGCGAAGGCGGCUCUCUGGACCGAUACUGACGCUGAGGUGCGAAAGCG